rnacentral:rRNA from 1 species
UACGGGGGGGGCAAGCGUUGUUCGGAAUUACUGGGCGUAAAGGGCUCGUAGGUGGCCAACUAAGUCAGACGUGAAAUCCCUCGGCUUAACCGGGGAACUGCGUCUGAUACUGGAUGGCUUGAGAUUGGGAGAGGGAUGCGGAAUUCCAGGUGUAGCGGUGAAAUGCGUAGAUAUCUGGAAGAACACCGGUGGCGAAGGCGGCAUCCUGGACCGGUAUUGACGCUGAGGCGCGAAAGCUAGGGGAGCAAACGGG